CCUACGGGUGGCAGCAGUGAGGAAUAUUGGUCAAUGGCCGGAAGGCUGAACCAGCCAUGCCGCGUGAAGGUCAGUGCCCUAUGGGCGUUAAACUUCUUUUGUGCGGGAGCAAUAAUGGUCACGUGUGGCCAGACGAGAGUACCGUACGAAUAAGCAUCGGCUAACUCCGUGCCAGCAGCCGCGGUAAUACGGAGGAUGCGAGCGUUAUCCGGAUUUAUUGGGUUUAAAGGGUGCGUAGGCGGGCUGUUAAGUCAGCGGUCAAAUGUCGGGGCUCAACCCCGGCCUGCCGUUGAAACUGGCGGCCUCGAGUGGGCGAGAAGUAUGCGGAAUGCGUGGUGUAGCGGUGAAAUGCAUAGAUAUCACACAGAACACCGAUUGCGAAGGCAUCUCACGAAUCCGCGAUUGACGCUGAUGCACGAAAGCGUGGGUAUCAAACAGGAUUAGAUACCCGUGUAGUC
rnacentral:rRNA from 1 species